rnacentral:rRNA from 1 species
GACGAACGCUGGCGGCGUGCCUAAUACAUGCAAGUAGAACGCUGAAGGAGGAGCUUGCUUCUCUGGAUGAGUUGCGAACGGGUGAGUAACGCGUAGGUAACCUGCCUGGUAGCGGGGGAUAACUAUUGGAAACGAUAGCUAAUACCGCAUAAGAGUAGAUGUUGCAUGACAUUUGCUUAAAAGGUGCAAUUGCAUCACUACCAGAUGGACCUGCGUUGUAUUAGCUAGUUGGUGGGGUAACGGCUCACCAAGGCGACGAUACAUAGCCGACCUGAGAGGGGGAUCGGCCACACUGGGACUGAGACACGGCCCAGGCUCCUACGGGAGGCAGCAGUAGGGAAUCUUCGGCAAUGGACGGAAGUCUGACCGAGCAACGCCGCGUGAGUGAAGAAGGUUUUCGGAUCGUAAAGCUCUGUUGUAAGAGAAGAACGAGUGUGAGAGUGGAAAGUUCACACUGUGACGGUAUCUUACCAGAAAGGGACGGCUAACUACGUG